ACACACAAGUCCCUGCGCCGUAUAUUCCGCACCCCCUAUCACCAGUGGAACCGUGCCUGUUUCGACUGCGAAGCCGACUGUUCGUCUCGUGUAUAUGCACCGUCUUUAGAUCGAUUGAGACAUGGCCAGUGCAGAUCUGUGUUUAUUGUACCGAUAUCGGUUCUAGUUACCGUGAUGUGAACAGAAAAAAAAAAAAGAUGGAAAAGGCUUCAGAAAAGAGAGAUCCAUUUCAUGGAAGGAAGAAAGUAAUUUCAAGAUUAAGGCCACCACAAAUAACUCCAAACAAAUUUGGAUUUAUUAAAGAAACUUGUAUUGCCGAAAAAGCUGAAUUUGAACAGUUGGAAAAACAGUCAAAAACUUUUUGUAAAGAUAAUAUUCAUAAAAAAGAACUGAAACAAUGGGAAGGAAAAUUAGGUGAUCCAGUUUGCAUAGGUGGAAUUAAAAAAGGAGUAUUAAGAUAUUUUGGUGGAUGAUAAAAGCUCUAGAGGGAUUUGAGUGAGUGGGCC
rnacentral:lncRNA from 1 species